CCUAUGUAGGCAAAAACACAAAACAUUGUAGGUUUUCUUUUAUAAAUAAAUUUUUAUCUUACUUAACCCUGUAAGACCCACUGUUUCAGAAUUACAUCAAUUGUGGUUAUUCCCCAAAACCCCCUUUGUCUUUUUUAAUUGUUUGUUUUCCACAUCAAUAUGAUCUGUGGGUCCUACAUUUUAUUCCCACCACGUAAUUGAAUCCAGGAUUUGUGUACAAAGCCCACCCUUAAGUCAAGAAAUGACACAUCCAACAACUUUCUGAUCAAGCAACAUGCCUUUGAUUUACUGGACUGGAUUCAUCUUCAAGUAAGUAAAAUGCUUGGAAUAUGUUUUUCUGUGUUUAUUACAGUGUCUAGAGCAACUUGCGCCAUGAUGUUAUUUUGGAAUGAUAUGCAGAAGUUAUCUGCGGUGUCCAGAGCCGUUGUCAAGCCCUCUCCUUUCUGCCACCAAUCAACGCGCCCCUCAUUUGCAUUAUUAAAAUUACCGCCCACGACAGCCAAAAUAUCGCAUCAGAUCUCGCGAGACAAUAAUGCAUUCAGAAAUAAGGGUCAUAUGAGCUCUGUGUUUAUUUAUUUUUUUCACUUUUCUUUUUUAGAAGGGCCUGAAAGACUAUAAUAGAGCGUGGGUAUCCAAGGUAAUACGAGGUUAUGACUCCUUUAAGGUGAACAUCUUGAGGGGAACUUAAAUGAAAAUGUUCACAACAAAUUAUACAUGAUUUAAACAUUAUACCCUUUAGCUUUUUGUCAGAUUACAUAUUCUUUACUGUAUUAGAGACUACAGUUGAAAGAUAUAUUGCAAUAUCUAAACAUUAGAAUUUGCUAUCACAUUCUGCAGGACUUUCUAACAAAGAAAUUCUGUUUGCACAAAAUGUUCUCAUCAAUUUAUAGUCAAAGUGCUUAUUAUCAUUAGGCCAAUAACCUUUAUUUAACCAGGUCUGACCCAUUGAGACCCAAGAUGUCCUCUUAUGUAAGAGACACCUGGCCAAUCCUCCAAGCGGUGCUUUGUUCUGACACAGGUGUAAAUGUUCAUCACUGUUAGAUUUUGUUGUAAACUGGACGGUGAAUGCAUUCCUGUAAGGAUUACAAUCACAGUCUACUAUAGGUGAGCCAUUAGGUAUAAUGUGACCGGUGAGAUGUGUGAAUAGGCUGCUUCAGUCCAAAGUGUGAACACGUCAUAAUGAGGCAUGUGUGCUAUUUGUAUAUACAAAUGUACAUUUGUUUCAAUUUUAUCUAUUUCUUUUCAGAAUGCCACCAGCAAAGGAGAAAUCCUCGGUACAAUGUGCACAAUGUAAUCCAAAAGUUUGUGUCAGAAGAUUUGGUUCAAGCUCUGGCAACAAAUACGAAUGAGUACAGCUUUCAAAAUGACGAAAGAUCAGUCAACACUAAUACAAAAGAAAUACAGGCAGCAUUGGGCAUGUACCUGAGGAUGGAACAUUACAUUUUGUAAACAAUUUAACCUUGCCAGAGACUGACAAGAGGGACAAACUCUGGAAACUCAGACCACAGCUUGAUUCAAAACUGCCUGCAGAUGGUACCAGAAAAGCACAUUCCAUGGACAAGAUGAUGAUCCCCUUCAACAGGAAGUUCAGCGGCAUCAAGAAGUAUAUGCAAGGGAGCAACAAUGAAGUACGAGUCAAAUCUAAACUUGGAUUGUCAGGUGGUGUUGUAAUGAAGCUUGCCUCCACAUUUCCAAAGGGUCAACACAACAAGAUCUAGGCAGACAACCACUUCACCUCCAUUCCACUGGUAGUGAAGCUCCUUGAGGAAGGAAUACAUUAUGUGUGAACAGCCAGGCAAAUGCAUCUACCGAACAGUAAUCUUUACAUGCGAAGAGCUUGAAGAAGAAGGGCAGAGGAAGCUUUGACCACAGAGUGGUGGGGAAACAACAUCUGUGCUGUCAAAUGGUACGACAACAGGGCGGUGACACUUGUGUCAUCCUUCGCUGGACCAGGACCUGUUCAGGAGAUUCAAGACUGGGACAAAGCCGCCAAAACCUACAUUGACGUUAGAAAGGCUUCCAUUGUGGGCAUCUACAAUAAAUACAUGGGAGGUGUGGAUCUGUUGGACUCAAUUACAGCAAAUCACAAGUAUGCACUGAAAUCCUGGUGGUGGUACAUGUGCAUCUUCUGGCACACAAUGACCCUUACUGUGGUCAACGCCUGGCUCCUCUACAAGCAGCACAGCCUAUGCUCUCAGGAUGCCAAAGAAGGAGAUACUGAACAUGAGAAAGUUCCAAGCACAGCUGGCUUCCUCUCUCAUUCCGAUUCUAAUCUGGUGGACAGAACACUGAAAACGCCAAAGAGAGGACGGCCAUUUUCAGCCAACAAGAGCCCAGAGACAGGAGCCCUCUGAAUGGUGGAAAGAGACCACACAUGGAUGAUGGAAGUCCAAAGGCUCCCUCUUCUAAAAAGUCACGCAAACCACCGCCCAUGGACGUGCGCAUGGACCAAACUGGACAUUUCCCCCUGAAGACAAAGAGAGGGCUCUGCAGAUGUUGCAGUAAAGGGUACACCAAUACCCAAAGCAGCAAGUGUGAUGUCCGCCUCUGUUUUUCAGAGGACAGGAACCGUUUCUGGGAUUACCACUAUAGAGAAGAGAGAACACUGCAGACGUUGCACUGUUAACAAUGUAA